rnacentral:rRNA from 1 species
GACGAACGCUGGCGGCGUGCCUAAUACAUGCAAGUAGAACGCUGAAGGAGGAGCUUGCUCUUCUGGAUGAGUUGCGAACGGGUGAGUAACGCGUAGGUAACCUGCCUGGUAGCGGGGGAUAACUAUUGGAAACGAUAGCUAAUACCGCAUAAGAGUAGAUGUUGCAUGACAUUUACUUAAAAGGUGCAAUUGCAUCACUACCAGAUGGACCUGCGUUGUAUUAGCUAGUUGGUGGGGUAACGGCUUACCAAGGCGACGAUACAUAGCCGACCUGAGAGGGGGAUCGGCCACACUGGGACUGGGACACGGCCCAGACUCCUACGGGAGGCAGCAGUAGGGAAUCUUCGGCAAUGGACGGAAGUCUGACCGAGCAACGCCGCGUGAGUGAAGAAGGUUUUCGGAUCGUAAAGCUCUGUUGUAAGAGAAGAACGAGUGUGAGAGUGGAAAGUUCACACUGUGACGGUAUCUUACCAGAAAGGGACGGCUAACUACGUG